rnacentral:rRNA from 1 species
UACGUAGGGUGCAAGCGUUGUCCGGAAUUAUUGGGCGUAAAGAGCGUGUAGGCGGCUUGAUAAGUCUGCUGUGAAAGUCCAGGGCUCAACCCUGGAAUGCCGGUGGAUACUGUCAAGCUAGAGUCCGGAAGGGGCGAGUGGAAUUCCUGGUGUAGCGGUGAAAUGCGCAGGUAUGAGGAGGAACACCAAUGGCGAAGGCAGCUCGCUGGGACGUAACUGACGCUGAGACGCGAAAGCGUGGGGAGCAAACAGG